rnacentral:misc_RNA from 1 species
GAUGAAGAACGCAGCGAAAUGCGAUAAGUAAUGUGAAUUGCAGAAUUCAGUGAAUCAUCGAAUCUUUGAACGCACAUUGCGCCCGCCAGUAUUCUGGCGGGCAUGCCUGUUCGAGCGUCAUUACAACCCUCAGGCCCCCGGGCCUGGCGUUGGGGAUCGGCGGAAGCCCCCUGUGGGCACACGCCGACCCUCAAAUACAGUGGCGGUCCCGCCGCAGCUUCCAUUGCGUAGUAGCUAACACCUCGCAACUGGAGAGCGGCGCGGCCAUGCCGUAAAACACCCAACUUCUGAAUGUUGACCUCGAAUCAGGUAGGAAUACCCGCUGAACUUAAGCAUAUCAAUAAGCGGAGGA